AAAAACCUCCUGGCAAAGGAGGAGAGGAGGUUGUGCGGGACAACCUUCUCCUGACAGAAGGUGCCAGGCUGGGGGUGGCAGGGCUGGAUAGGGAGGGGCACUGCCCAAGACUGGGGUGGCUCCAGGGAGCUGGCCCUGGUGAUGGGUGCUUGCAGGUAACCAGAGGUCAAGUUGGCUGGUGGUUCUAGAUGAGGCUGUCUGGUUUCUGGUCUCUAGUUUCCUUGAUCUCUAAUUUUGUGUCACUUCUCCUCUCCCCUCUCCCUUGGCUUCUUCCCCUGAGAUUCCCUGAAUCUCCCUCCAUGCUCUUAACCAUGUUUACCCAUCAUUGGUCCUGGAGCUCCCCAGCCCCUUUCCUAGGCCUCAGGACCUCACCCUCCAUCCCGUCUGCCCUGCAGGAUGUCGCUGCUGAGCCUGUCUUGGCUGGGCCUCAGGCCGGUGGCAGCAUCCCCGUGGCUGCUCCUGCUGGUGGUCGGGGCCUCCUGGCUCCUGGCCCACAUCCUGGCCUGGACCUAUGCCUUCUAUCACAACUGCCGCCGCCUCCGGUGUUUCCCGCAGCCCCGGAAACAGAACUGGUUUUUGGGUCACCUGGGCCUGGUCACUCCCACAGAGGAGGGCUUGAGGGUCCUGACCCAGCUGGUGGCCACCUACCCCCAGGGCUUUGUGAGGUGGUUGGGCCCCAUCACUCCCAUCAUCAACUUGUGCCACCCCGACAUCGUCCGAUCUGUCAUCAAUACCUCAGGUACUCCUGCAGAGCUUGUGGUGGUGGGCACAGGAGAACAUUGGAGGGCUUCUAGAUCUCAUCCCCAAAGCUUCUGUGCAGCUCUUGUAGUACUCAGCCCCUUCCUUCCUGCUUCUCUCUCAGCCACCUUCCUCUUUCCUUCCUGUAGUCACCAACCCCAACCUCAGUGUCUUUUCUCUCUGCUGCCAUCUUCCCCACCUCCGUGUUGUUCUGGGAACCACUGGGGCCCCAAGAAGCCUUAAUCCAAGGCCCUGUCCUGGAGGAAUCCCCAAACUUGAAGAGAUGGAUCAGUACAGAGACAUCCCCAACUUCAUGGGGUUCAGAAUGGGCCAGGAGGAGAUAGGCUGUGACAGAGCAGAGGAGAACAAGGUUUCUACUGGGGCAGGCUGGAAGGCUUCGUGGAGGCGGAGUAGCAGGAGUUGGGUCUGGAAAGAUGAGUGAUAAUUUUUUUUUUAAAAGCAGGGGCAGGGUGAUGCAGUGGGCAUUGUUAGUAUUCAAGGCUCCGGACCAGGCUUGGCAUUGGCCUUGUCCUUCUGCAGGCCCAGAGCAAGGACAAGAAGAUGAGAAGGAGUUGUGGUUGGUGGAAGAUCUGGGCUGCUAUUUCCAUGACAUUCACCUCUUGUGGGUCGAUUCCUUCUAACCCCAUCCUGUGGCACUUCCACCAUAUGCUCAUUGCCCUCUUGCUCCAGGCCCCAGGAAUCUCCAAUAGGAGACACCACCCCAGCCUGGAGCCGUACCCUUGCCCUCUGCCCUUCCCAUCUUUGGACAGGCCAGGGAGAGCAGCAGAAGGGGUAUCACGCCACAGAGACCAUGGCUCAGGCCCCAAAAUGCUGAGUGACUCUGGGUAGGUCCACGGCUCUCUGUGGGUGCUAAGGUGUCUUUCCAUUGUGAGUGGUAGAAACUCAACCCCAAGCAGUCAAAGCCAUUAAAGAGAAGCUAUUGACUGCAACAUCCAGGGAGGAUGGCCUUCAGGCACAACUGGAUCCAGGUCUCACCUAAUAUCAUCAGAAUUCUGUCUUUAACUCUUAUUCUGUAAAUGUGUUUUGUAGAGUGUUGACUUAUGCUUGGGUGUUGCAGAACAUGUUGGACCAUGUAGGAGCCACGUCAAGACAUGCUGGGUGUGCUGUACCAUGUCAGGGUGUAUCAUUGCUCUAUAGUGUUGUUGCAGCCUAGUCCGGCCCCCUUUAUGCCCCCCACCCUCCUUUCUUCUUCUGCCCAUGGCCUCCUUCCUGCUAUGCUGGGCUUGGAGAAAAGAAGUCCAAACCUCUGGCUGGGAGCCACCCUCCAUACCCAAAGUCCCUCCUCUAUUCCUCUCCAUGGACCCUGAUGGUCCUCAUUCAUGUCAGAUGCCAUUACAGACAAGGACAUAGUCUUCUACAAGACCCUGAAGCCCUGGCUGGGUAAGUAACUGUAGGUGGACGGGACGGGGACCAACUUUUGUGGCCAGGGGAAGAUUCUGCCCUUGCCCACAGCCUUUGGCUGCCAUACUAGGGGAUGGGCUCUUGUUAAGUGUUGGUGACAAGUGGAGACACCACCGUCGCUUGCUGACGCCUGCCUUCCAUUUCAACAUCCUGAAGCCCUAUAUAAAGAUUUUCAGCAAGAGUGCAAACAUCAUGCAUGAAGCCCAGUGAAUAUAUUACUGCGAUCAUGGAGCUCAGUGCCCUUGUAGUGAAACGGAAUAACCAGUUCUUCCGGUACAAGGACUUCCUGUACUUCCUCACUCCCUGUGGACGGCGCUUCCACAGGGCCUGCCGACUGGUGCACGACUUCACAGAUACUGUCAUCCAGGAGCGGCGCCGCACCCUCACUAGCCAGGGUGUUGAUGACUUCCUCCAAGCCAAGGCCAAGUCCAAGACUUUGGACUUUAUUGAUGUGCUCCUGCUGAGCGAGGAUAAAAAUGGGAAAGAGUUGUCAGAUGAGGACAUAAGAGCAGAAGCUGACACUUUCAUGUUUGGAGGCCAUGACACCACGGCCAGUGGCCUCUCCUGGGUCUUGUACAACCUCGCGAGGCACCCAGAAUACCAAGAACGCUGCCGGCAGGAGGUGCAAGAGCUUCUGAAGGACCGUGAGCCUAAAGAGAUUGAAUGGGACGACCUGGCCCAGUUGCCCUUCCUGACCAUGUGCCUGAAGGAGAGCCUGCGGUUGCAUCCCCCAAUCCCUAUAUUCGCCCGCGGCUGCACCCAGGACGUGGUGCUCCCAGACAGCCGAGUCAUCCCCAAAGGGAAUGUCUGUAACAUCAACAUCUUCGCAAUCCAUCACAACCCCUCAGUCUGGCCAGACCCUGAGGUCUAUGACCCCUUCCGCUUCGACCCAGAAAACGCCCAGAAGAGGUCACCUAUGGCUUUUAUUCCUUUCUCGGCGGGGCCCAGGAACUGCAUCGGGCAGAAGUUCGCGAUGGCAGAGAUGAAGGUGGUCCUGGCGCUCACGCUGCUGCGCUUCCGCAUCCUGCCCGACCACAGGGAGCCACGCAGGACGCCGGAGAUUGUUUUGCGUGCGGAGGACGGACUUUGGCUGCGAGUAGAGCCCCUGGGCUGAGGCCUGCAGUGACCCACCCACCUACCUUUGCAUCACCUACCUUUGCACCAACUACCUUUUCAGAUUUCCGGUAAUAAAUCUGUGCUGGCCCCUG
rnacentral:sRNA from 1 species